rnacentral:rRNA from 1 species
AUUGAACGCUGGCGGCAUGCCUUACACAUGCAAGUCGAACGGCAGCGGGGACUUCGGUCCGCCGGCGAGUGGCGAACGGGUGAGUAAUGUAUUGGAACGUACCAUUCAGUGGGGGAUAACUAUCCGAAAGGAUAGCUAAUACCGCAUAUUCUGUGAGCAGGAAAGCAGGGGAUCGCAAGACCCUGCGCUGAUUGAGCGGCCGAUAUCAGAUUAGCUAGUUGGUGAGGUAACGGCUCACCAAGGCUACGAUCUGUAGCGGGUCUGAGAGGAUGAUCAGCCACACUGGGACUGAGACACGGCCCAGACUCCUACGGGAGGCAGCAGUGGGGAAUUUUGGACAAUGGGCGCAAGCCUGAUCCAGCCAUGCCGCGUGAGUGAAGAAGGCCUUCGGGUUGUAAAGCUCUUUCGGCCGGGAAGAAAUCGCAUCAGCUAAUACCUGGUGUGGAUGACGGUACCGGAAUAAGAAGCACCGGCUAACUACGUGCCAGCCGCCGCCGUAACAC